AUUUGACACAUAUCUUCAUUCUAGAUUCAAGAAAUUACCCUCUCACUUAAUUUCAUCCUUUCAGUCUGUGACCAAAGAAGAUAUUUUCAAUGAUACAAAUUAUUGGAUCCGUAUGAAGCUCCAGAUGUCUAGAAGGUUAAAGAAGUGUUGGACCAUUUUAAAGGUUUGCUUGCAAGUGAAAC